GCCUGGAUGGUCUAGAGGUAUGAUUCUCGCUUAGGGUUCUAAACUUCCUGAGUAUAAAAUGCGAGAGGUCCCAGGUUCGAUCCCUGGUUCAGGCC